rnacentral:rRNA from 1 species
UACGAAGGGGGCUAGCGUUGCUCGGAAUUACUGGGCGUAAAGGGCGCGUAGGCGGCACUGUUAGUCAGGCGUGAAAGUCCUGGGCUCAACCUGGGAACUGCGCUUGAUACGGCAGAGCUAGAGGAUGGAAGAGGCUCGCGGAAUUCCCAGUGUAGAGGUGAAAUGCGUAGAUAUCGGGAGGAACAUCCGUGGCGAAGGCGGCACCCUGGACCAGCACUGACACUGAGGCACGAAAGCGUGGGGAGCAAACAGG